AAGAUUAAGCCAUGCAUGUCUAAGUAUAAACACUUUUAUACACGUGAAACUGCGAAUGGCUCAUUAAAACAGUUAUAGUUCCUUUGAGAAUCAUACUACUUGGAUAACCGUAGUAAUUCUAGAGCUAAUACAUGCCUUAACGCCCGACUCACGAAGGGUGGUAUUUAUUGGAUAAAAAACCAUCGCGCUCAGCAAUGACCGCUUUGAGAUGAUUCACAAUAACUUGUCGGAUCGCACGGCCUCGCGCCGGCGACUCCUCAUUCAAAUUUCUGCCCUAUCAACUUUCGAUGGUAGAGUAUUGGUCUACCAUGGUGUCGACGGGUAACGGGGAAUUAGGGUUCGAUUCCGGAGAGGGAGCCUGAGAAACGGCUACCACAUCCAAGGAAGGCAGCAGGCGCGCAAAUUACCCAAUCCCGACUCGGGGAGGUAGUGACAAAAAAUAACAAUAGGGGGCCCUUUGGGUCUUCUAAUUGGAAUGAGAACAAUUUAAAUCCGUUAUCGAGGAUCCAUUGGAGGGCAAGUCUGGU
rnacentral:rRNA from 1 species